ACUCCUACGGGAGGCAGCAGUAGGGAAUUUUGGUGAAUGGGGGAAACCCUGAACCAGCGACGCCGCGUGGGUGAUGAAAUCCAACGGGAUGAAAUUCCCUUAACAUGGGGACGAAAUAAAAAUGACGGUACCGGUGGAAUAAGCCUCCGGUAACUCCGUGCCACCCGCCGCCGUAAUACGGGGGAGGCAAGCGUUGUCCGG
rnacentral:rRNA from 1 species